UGGGGAAUAUUGCACAAUGGGCGCAAGCCUGAUGCAGCCAUGCCGCGUGUGUGAAGAAGGCCUUCGGGUUGUAAAGCACUUUCAGCGAGGAGGAAGGUGGUGAGCUUAAUACGCUCAUCAAUUGACGUUACUCGCAGAAGAAGCACCGGCUAACUCCGUGCCAGCAGCCGCGGUAAUACGGAGGGUGCAAGCGUUAAUCGGAAUUACUGGGCGUAAAGCGCACGCAGGCGGUUUGUUAAGUCAGAUGUGAAAUCCCCGGGCUCAACCUGGGAACUGCAUUUGAAACUGGCAAGCUAGAGUCUCGUAGAGGGGGGUAGAAUUCCAGGUGUAGCGGUGAAAUGCGUAGAGAUCUGGAGGAAUACCGGUGGCGAAGGCGGCCCCCUGGACGAAGACUGACGCUCAGGUGCGAAAAGCGUGGGGCAGCAAACAGGAUUAGAUACCCUGGUAGUCCACGCUGUAAACGAUGUCGAUUUUGGAGGUUGUGCCCUUGAGGCGUGGCUUCCGGAGCUAACGCGUUAAAUCGACCGCCUGGGGAGUACGGCCGCAAGGUUAAAACUCAAAGGAAUUGACGGGGUC
rnacentral:rRNA from 1 species